rnacentral:lncRNA from 1 species
GAAAUCUUAUUUUUUCCUCUCUUUCUUUCAUCUGACGCUCUCUAUCUCUCUUUCACGUCUUUCUCCUUCUUCCUUCUCCGGCGAUUUCGCUGGUUCUCGCCGCCUCCGGCGCGACGAGGAUCGUGGUGGUUCUUCCCCUUUAUUGUUUUCUACUUAUCCACCGGUGCCACCGUCUGUAUCUCUCUCCCCACUCCUAAUUCUCAAUUCAGACCACACAUCCCCCAAAGGUUACUCUCUCUGUCGUUCGCCGCUAGGCACCGUCCCCAUCUUCUCCAAUCGCGCUACCCUACCUCAGAGCCUCCACUGUCGAGUCUUCUCCAUCGUCUCACCCCAUCCUCGGCCGCCGCCGCUAAUUUGAAAUCCCCUAACCCCAAAUUGCCGACCCCUCUCUUUUUCCCUAAUUGUUACCGGUCUCUUGCCUGCGCCGCUUGCGUCUGUCUCUCUGGAAACCGGUGGCAUUUCGAUAGCCAGAUGCGAUUCAAGCUUUCAUUUCCCGGUGGAAGCUUCGAGACAUGGUCAGAAAAUCUAGCUCUAGCAUCUUUUGGAGGUAUGAUUCCCUUUCAAAAUUCUUCGUCUCUCACCACCUCUCCCGCAGCGAUUCUAUUGCUAGCCUCGCUGUUAAGUAUCCUGUUCAGGUAUUCUAUGGAUGUUAAUCGAAUUGAUUUUUGCGAAUUGUGAUUAUGCUCAAACCCAGGCUAUAUGCGUUCGACAAUGUGUUCCUAUAACCUAUACUAGAUUAGUUUAGAAGAUUAUAAAUAAGAGCUUAUGAAUACAAAAAUUUAUAGCCUUUUCCGCGCAUGGCUGUGAGCUAUUGACUCAUGAAAUUUAUUUUGCUAACUGAAAUUUAUCGUCUGGUUUUGUUACAUGUUGAUAUGCAAUGUUGAUAUUUUGGAAUAAGAGAGAAAAAAGUGAAGGUCUCUAAUUUGUUACAUGUUGAUAUGCAAUGUUGUAUCAGGCUAUGAGGGUGAUUAUUAAUGAAAGAUAUGGUUCUGUUUUUGGUUUGCAGUGUCUAUUAUAAAAGGCUUAUCUAGUAUUUUUAUUUGCUUUAGGAAUCCGAAGAACUCACAUCAUCUACACAAUGGAGGUUUGUUCACACUUCUAUUUUUUCUGCUCGAAUUUAUNUUUCAUCUGACGCUCUCUAUCUCUCUUUCACGUCUUUCUCCUUCUUCCUUCUCCGGCGAUUUCGCUGGUUCUCGCCGCCUCCGGCGCGACGAGGAUCGUCGGUUGGUCCUUCCCCUUUUAUCGUUUUCUACUUAUCCACCGGUGCCACCGUCUGUAUCUCUCUCACCACUCCUAAUUCUCAAUUCAGACCACACAUCCCCAAAGGUUACUCUCUCUGUCGUUCGCCGCUAGCCACCGUCCCCAUCUUCUCCAAUCGCGCUACCCUACCUCAGAGCCUCCACUGUCGAGCCUUCUCCAUCGUCUCACCCAUCCUCGGCCGCCGCCGCUAAUUUGAAAUCCCUAACCCCCAAAUCGAGACCCCUCUCUUAUUCCCUAAUUGUUACCGGUCUCUUGCCCGCGCCGCUUGCGUCUGCCUCUCUGGAAACCGGUGGCAUUCGAUAGCCAGAUGCGAUUCAAGCUUUCAUUUCCCGGUGAAAGCUUCGAGACAUGGUCAGAAAACCUAGCUCUAACACCUUUGGAGGUAUGAUUCCCUUUCAAAAUUAUCGUCUCUUACCACCUCUCCCGCAACGAUUUUAUUGCUAGCCUCGCUGUUAAGUAUCCCGUUCAGGUAUUCUAUGGAUGCUAAUCGAAUUUAUUUUCGCUAAUUGUGAUUAUGCUCAAACCCAGGC